rnacentral:rRNA from 1 species
AGCAGCCGCGGUAAUUCCAGCUCCAAUAGCGUAUAUUAAAGUUGUUGCAGUUAAAAAGCUCGUAGUUGAAUUUCGGGACCAAUUUGUUGGUCGUGCCUCGGUACGUACUGGUAUUAUUGGUUUCUCCCUUCUGAAGAACCUCGAUGUCAUUAAUUUGGUGUCGUGGGGAAUCAGGACUGUUACUUUGAAAAAAUUAGAGUGUUUAAAGCAGGCAUACGCUUGAAUACAUUAGCAUGGAAUAAUGAAAUAGGACGUUUGAUUCUAUUUUGUUGGUUUCUAGGAUCGACGUAAUGAUUAAUAGGGAUAGUUGGGGGCAUUAGUAUUCAAUUGUCAGAGGUGAAAUUCUUGGAUUUAUUGAAGACUAACUACUGCGAAAGCAUUUGCCAAGGAUGUUUUCAUUAAUCAAGAACGAAAGUUAGGGGAUCGAAGACGAGUCAGAUACCGUCGUAGUCUUAACCAUAAACUAUGCCGACUAGGGAUCGGAUGAUGUAAUUUUUAAUGACUCAUUCGGCGCCUUACG